rnacentral:rRNA from 1 species
GCAAUACUUUGAUGGCGACCGGCGCACGGGUGAGUAACACGUAUGCAACCUACCUACAACAGGGGAAUAACCCGGAGAAAUUCGAACUAAUACCGCAUAAUACAGGGGUCCCGCAUGGGAAUAUUUGUUAAAGAUUUAUCGGUUGUAGAUGGGCCUGCGUUCCAUUAGGUAGUUGGUAGAGUAACGGCCUACCAAGCCGACGAUGGAUAGGGGAACUGAGAGGUUUAUCCCCCACACUGGAACUGAGACACGGACCAGACUCCUACGGGAGGCAGCAGUGAGGAAUAUUGGUCAAUGGUCGAGAGACUGAACCAGCCAAAUCGCGUGAAGGAAGACUGCCUUAUGGGUUGUAAACUUCUUUUUUACAGGAAUAAAAGACAUUACGUGUAAUGUAUUGCAUGUACUGUAAGAAUAAGCAUCGGCUAACUCCGUGCCAGCAGCCGCGGUAAUACGGAGGAUGCGGGCGUUAUCCGGAUUUAUUGGGUUUAAAGGGUGCGCAGGCGGGCAUUUAAGUCAGCGGUGAAAUUUCCAGGCUCAACCUGGGCACUGCCGUUGAAACUGGGCGCCUUGAGUAUAGAUGAAGUAGGCGGAAUUCGUUGUGUAGCGGUGACAUGCUUAGAUAUAACGAGGAACUCCGAUUGCGUAGGCAGCUUACUAAACUAUAACUGACGCUCAAGCACGAAAGCGUGGGGAUCAAACAG